UACGUAGGGUGCGAGCGUUAAUCGGAAUUACUGGGCGUAAAGCGUGCGUAGACGGUUAUGUAAGUCAGGUGUGAAAGCCCCGGGCUCAACCUGGGAAUUGCAUUUGAGACUGCAUAGCUAGGGUGCGGAAGAGGGAAGCGGAAUUUCCGGUGUAGCGGUGAAAUGCGUAGAUAUCGGAAGGAACAUCAGUGGCGAAAGCGGCUUCCUGGUCCAGCACCGACGUCAGGCACGAAAGCGUGGGGAGUAAACAGG
rnacentral:rRNA from 1 species